rnacentral:rRNA from 1 species
UAUGAACGCUGGCGGCGUGCCUAAUACAUGCAAGUCGAGCGAACAGACGAGGAGCUUGCUCCUCUGACGUUAGCGGCGGACGGGUGAGUAACACGUGGAUAACCUACCUAUAAGACUGGGAUAACUUCGGGAAACCGGAGCUAAUACCGGAUAAUAUAUUGAACCGCAUGGUUCAAUAGUGGAAGACGGUUUUGCUGUCACUUAUAGAUGGAUCCGCGCCGCAUUAGCUAGUUGGUAAGGUAACGGCUUACCAAGGCAACGAUGCGUAGCCGACCUGAGAGGGUGAUCGGCCACACUGGAACUGAGACACGGUCCAGACUCCUACGGGAGGCAGCAGUAGGGAAUCUUCCGCAAUGGGCGAAAGCCUGACGGAGCAACGCCGCGUGAGUGAUGAAGGUCUUCGGAUCGUAAAACUCUGUUAUUAGGGAAGAACAAAUGUGUAAGUAACUAUGCACGUCUUGACGGUACCUAAUCAGAAAGCCACGGCUAACUACGUG